UGGCUUAGUGGUUAAAGUGCUAUGGCUGCUAACCAGAAGGUCGGCAGUUCAAAUCUGCC
rnacentral:tRNA from 1 species